rnacentral:misc_RNA from 1 species
CUACUACCUACUAACCUACUACCUAAUUAUCCACUAUUGAGCUAUAUUGAAACAAAAUCCAGUGCAGACCUUCCUCAAGUACCUUAAACGUGGCUAUUUCAAACUAAAAUGAGAAAACAAACAAGUGAAUUGUCAAACAAAUAUAAACUAAAACAAAAAAAUAAAUCAAAGAGCAUACUGCUUACUCUGAAGCUCGUUAAGCCAUCGAUCAAUGUUAUCGAAAGUCAGGCGCCUACUAAUAUCAUAAACCAGAAGA